CCGUCUUAACCUGAAAUAACUCGAGACCAAACCUAAUCUUGUGUGUUUCUUUGUUGUAAACGAGACAAACCCUAGAAGAAAACUUACAUGAUGAAGAUUCUCAAUUUUCGUCAACAGCGGUGGAAUCAGAUGGAGAUUUAAGAACCGAAAGUCUAGAUCUUUGUUGAAGAAGGUGGUGAUCUGAUGAUAUCGUAAUCACAGAGUUUCCUUCUCCGUCGAUACCAUUCACUAAACGGUUUUACGUCUAGGAGAUUUGGAGGAGCAGGAACAUGUUCUCCCCGUAGGGACUGAAGUUUUUCGAGGUCUUCGACUCUUUUUAUGGAGCAACAUUUGUGCUACUGGUCUGUAACUUUACAAUCAGGAUUAUCAUUGAGAAUUUGUAUUUGAGCAGCUAUUCUUGAAAUAUAAGGAUCCUAUAUGAUUGCUGAACAUUUUUUUUUAUAAUUUGGGCUGUCAGGAUUCCAAUCAGGAUUUUUGUAAUUUAAAUAAAGAUUGGUGGAUAGGAA